rnacentral:rRNA from 1 species
GACGAACGCUGGCGGCGUGCUUAACACAUGCAAGUCGAACGAAGUGGCGGACGGGUGAGUAACGCGUAAUCAACCUGCCCUUCAGAGGGGGACAACAGUGGGAAAGGACUGCUAAUACCGCAUACUGAUGGCGGUGGUUGCGUCGUAUUGGCUCGUUGGAGGGGUAAUGGCCCGCCAAGGCGAUGAUCAGUAGGCGGGCUGAGAGGAUGAACGGCCACAAUUGGACUGGGAAACGGCCCAGACUCCUAAGGGAGGCAGCAGUGGGGAAUCUUCCGCCAUGGAGGAAAGGCUGACGGAGCAAAGCCGGGUGGGAGAUGACAGCCUUCGGGUUGUAAAGGUCUGUUAAGCGGGACGCGGUACCGGAAGAGAAAGCCACGGCUAACUACGUGCCAGCCGCCGCGGUAAUAC